rnacentral:rRNA from 1 species
UACGGAGGGUGCAAGCGUUAUCCGGAUUCACUGGUUUAAAGGGUGCGUAGGCGGGUUGGUAAGUCCGUGGUGAAAUCUCCAAGCUUAACUUGGAAACUGCCGUGGAUACUAUCAAUCUUGAAUAUCGUGGAGGUAAGCGGAAUAUGUCAUGUAGCGGUGAAAUGCUUAGAUAUGACAUAGAACACCAAUUGCGUAGGCAGCUUACUACACGAUCAUUGACGCUGAGGCACGAAAGCGUGGGGAGCAAACAGG